UUUCCAGACUCCUACGGGAGGCAGCAGUGAGGAAUAUUGGUCAAUGGUCGGGAGACUGAACCAGCCAAGCCGCGUGAGGGAUGAAGGUACAGAGUAUCGUAAACCUCUUUUGUCAGGGAACAAAGGCGGGGACGUGUCCCCGGAUGAGUGUACCUGAAGAAAAAGCAUCGGCUAACUCCGUGCCAGCAGCCGCGGUAAUACGGAGGAUGCGAGCGUUAUCCGGAUUUAUUGGGUUUAAAGGGUGCGCAGGCGGGAGAUCAAGUCAGCGGUAAAAUGUCGGGGCUCAACCCCGGCCGGCCGUUGAAACUGGUUUUCUAGAGUUGGAGAGAAGUAUGCGGAAUUCGUGGUGUAGCGGUGAAAUGCAUAGAUAUCACGAAGAACUCCGAUUGCGAAGGCAGCAUACCGGCUCCAUACUGACGCUGAGGCACGAAAGCGUGGGGAUCGAACAGGAUUAGAUACCCCAGUA
rnacentral:rRNA from 1 species